GUCGAACGAGAAUCUACUGAAAGAGCUUUCGGACGAUGGAAGUAGAGGAAAGUGGCGGACGGGUGAGUAACGCGUGAGGAACCUGCCUUGAAGAGGGGGACAACAGUUGGAAACGACUGCUAAUACCGCAUGAAGCAUAGGGGUCGCAUGAUUCUUAUGCCAAAGAUUUAUCGCUUCAAGAUGGCCUCGCGUCUGAUUAGCUAGUUGGCGGGGUAACGGCCCACCAAGGCGACGAUCAGUAGCCGGACUGAGAGGUUGAACGGCCACAUUGGGACUGAGAUACGGCCCAGACUCCUACGGGAGGCAGCAGUGGGGAAUAUUGGGCAAUGGGCGCAAGCCUGACCCAGCAACGCCGCGUGAAGGAAGAAGGCUUUCGGGUUGUAAACUUCUUUUAAGAGGGAAGAGCAGAAGACGGUACCUCUAGAAUAAGCCACGGCUAACUACGUGCCAGCAGCCGCGGUAAUACGUAGGUGGCAAGCGUUGUCCGGAUUUACUGGGUGUAAAGGGCGUGCAGCCGGGUCUGCAAGUCAGAUGUGAAAU
rnacentral:rRNA from 1 species